AGACCUAUCACGAGGACGAAUGCAUUCAAGGGCGCCAUGGGGGUUACGACCCUUCGACUUACCAGUGAGUGUGCAGUUAUUUUCUGUUUAUACCUAUAUACUACUGAUUUUUCCCAGAAAUUGAAUAUAAAUGAAAGUAUGUUUUAAAAUGCCAUGCAUGCAUAUUUUAUGAAAUAUAUUAAUUAGUAUUUGAUGCAUAUAUGUGAAAUGGUGUUGUGGACGCACAGGUGCGUAUCAGGUGAGUUUUAUGUUGUUCAUAUGGUUUAUUGAUGAUGUGAAUUGUGUUGAGAGCUCAUAACCUGCACCCUUGGUGUUAGUGCUUAUAUUAUUCACCCCGCACCACACGCUCACCUUGGAUCCAAGUAGGUGCCUAUCGAACAGACCAUUAGAGGUGGUUCUGACAUGUCGUACAGACCAUUAGAGGUGGUUCCGACUUGUAGGUGACUUUAGAUUAUUAUACAGCUGUUGAUGAGAGAAGCACUAAAGCGUAUUCUUACACCAUUCUUGUCGUACAGACUACUUCAGGUAGUUCCGAUUUAUGUGUAGAGUAGUGCCGUACAGGUCACAGUGGUGACUUCGGUUGGGUUGGAUAUUGAGCUAUAGAAUUAACCGUACAGGACAGCUGCAGGGUCUCCGAUUAAUUCAUUAUUUCACCUGUUAUAUUGAUGCAUCCUUAUCAUGUUUUGAAUCAUAGCAUGGCAUAUUCUUGAAAAGUGUUAAAGACUUGUGAUUUGAGUUUUGCUGUGAUAUAUGAUUAUGUAUAUACUAUUUUUAUGGGAAAGUAUACAGGUUUUACAGUGAGGGGUUAGAAGUGUUGUUAAAUGAAAUAUUUUCGAAAAGCUUUGUUUUACUGACCCACUCAAUCUUGUUUUGCGCCCCUCCAGGUUCUAGUUAGCAGUGUUGGUGGCU
rnacentral:lncRNA from 1 species